UGGAGACUGGAAGAUCUCAGGGUUGAACCUGCUGGAGUCCGAUGGAUGACACCAGGUCUAAGGAAGUAUUCCACUCGGCUUUCAAUCGACACAAACACAGUGAACAGAAACCUCAGAAUAUCUGAAGACAGGAGGAAGGUGGAACAUGUUGAAGAGGUUCAGUCAUAUCCUGAUCAUCCAGACAGAUUUGAUUACUGGCCUCAGCUGCUGUGUCAAAAUGCUCUGACUGGUCGCUGCUACUGGGAGCUGAAGUGGAGAGGAAGAGUUAACAUCUCACUAAGUUACAGAAGAAUCAACAAACAAGAAAACUGUUGGUUUGGAUGGAAUGAUCAGUCCUGGAGUCUGAGAUGUUCUAAUGACGGUUAUUAUGCUUGGCACGAUAGCAGACCAACAUUUAUUCCCUCCUCUACUUCCUUCUCUCCUUUUUCCACCUCCUUUAACAGAGUAGCGGUUUAUGUGGACUGUCCUGCAGGGCUUCUGUCCUUCUACAGAGUCUCCUCUGACUCACUGAUCCACCUCCACACAUUCAGCUCCACAUUCGAUGAACCGCUGCAUUUGGGACUGGGGCUCCUGUCUCCUGGUUCCUCAGUGUUUUUGUGUUGAGUCUAAAGAGUCUCCUGUUUUUAGAAAUCCUCUCACCUUUUAACUGUUUAAUUUUCUUUGUUUGCUUCUUUCACUCCAAAACACAUUUUCAGAUUUCUGGAAUCAGUCUUUUUCUAUUUGAAACUCUUCUAAAAUAUUGUUUCUCUUCAAUGUUCCUCUAAGGAUUUCAAGGUUUAAGUAUAAAAGCAAUUCAGCCAAUACAAUUUAAGCAGUAACUAAAAAUUGUCAGGGAUUGAAGUGUUCCGACCCCAGGCUGGUUUCCAGCUCGU